AUUGAACGCUGGCGGCAGGCUUAACACAUGCAAGUCGAGCGGGGGAAGGUAGCUUGCUACCGGACCUAGCGGCGGGCGGGUGAGUAAUGCUUAGGAAUCUGCCUAUUAGUGGGGGACAACAUCUCGAAAGGGAUGCUAAUACCGCAUACGUCCUACGGGAGAAAGCAGGGGAUCACUUGUGACCUUGCGCUAAGAGAUGAGCCUAAGUCGGAUUAGCUAGUUGGUGGGGUAAAGGCCUACCAAGGCGACGAUCUGUAGCGGGUCUGAGAGGAUGAUCCGCCACACUGGGACUGAGACACGGCCCAGACUCCUACGGGAGGCAGCAGUGGGGAAUAUUGGACAAUGGGGGGAACCCUGAUCCAGCCAUGCCGCGUGUGUGAAGAAGGCCUUAUGGUUGUAAAGCACUUUAAGCGAGGAGGAGGCUCUUUUGGUUAAUACCCAAGAUGAGUGGACGUUACUCGCAGAAUAAGCACCGGCUAACUCUGUGCCAGCAGCCGCAGUAA
rnacentral:rRNA from 1 species